rnacentral:rRNA from 1 species
UACGAAGGGUGCAAGCGUUACUCGGAAUUACUGGGCGUAAAGCGUGCGUAGGUGGUUCGUUAAGUCUGAUGUGAAAGCCCUGGGCUCAACCUGGGAAUGGCAUUGGAUACUGGCGACCUAGAGUGCGGUAGAGGGUGGCGGAAUUCCCGGUGUAGCAGUGAAAUGCGUAGAUAUCGGGAGGAACAUCCGUGGCGAAGGCGGCCACCUGGACCAGCACUGACACUGAGGCACGAAAGCGUGGGGAGCAAACGGG